rnacentral:rRNA from 1 species
UACGUAGGUGACAAGCGUUGUCCGGAUUUACUGGGCGUAAAGAGCGCGCAGGCGGUCGUUCAAGUCGAGUGUGAAAGCCCCCGGCUCAACUGGGGAGGGUCAUUCGAUACUGAUCGACUCGAAGGCAGGAGAGGGAAGUGGAAUUCCCGGUGUAGUGGUGAAAUGCGUAGAUAUCGGGAGGAACACCAGUGGCGAAGGCAGCUCGCUGGGACGGUACUGACGCUGAGGCGCGAAAGCGUGGGGAGCGAACGAGGA